rnacentral:rRNA from 1 species
UACGUAGGCAGCGAGCGUUGUCCGGAAUUACUGGGCGUAAAGAGCUCGUAGGUGGUUUGUCGCGUUGUCCGUGAAAACUCACAACUCAAUUGUGGGCGUGCGGGCGAUACGGGCAGACUGGAGUACUGCAGGGGAGACUGGAAUUCCUGGUGUAGCGGUGGAAUGCGCAGAUAUCAGGAGGAACACCGGUGGCGAAGGCGGGUCUCUGGGCCGAUAUUGACGCUGAGGAGCGAAAGCGUGGGGAGCGAACAGG